rnacentral:tRNA from 1 species
UCCCUGGUGGCUCAGAUGGUAGAGCGUCUGCCUGCAAUACGGGAGACGCAGGUUCGAUCCCUGGGUUGGGAA